UACAGGGGGGGCAAGCGUUGUUCGGAAUUACUGAGCGUAAAGGGCGCGUAGGCGGCCAACUAAGUCACACGUGAAAUCCCCAGGCUUAACCUGGGAACUGCGUGUGAUACUGGAUGGCUUGAAUUCGGGAGAGGGAUGCGGAAUUCCAGGUGUAGCGGUGAAAUGCGUAGAUAUCUGGAGGAACACCGGUGGCGAAGGCGGCAUCCUGGACCGACAUUGACGCUGAGGCGCGAAAGCUAGGGGAGCAAACGGG
rnacentral:rRNA from 1 species